CCUACGGGUGGCAGCAGUGGGGAAUAUUGCACAAUGGGGGAAACCCUGAUGCAGCGACGCCGCGUGAGUGAAGAAGUAACUCGUUAUGUAAAGCUCUAUUAGCAGGGAAGAAAAUGACGGUACCUGAGUAAGUAUCCCCGGCUAACUACGUGCCAGCAGCCGCGGUAAUACGGAGGGGGCAAGCGUUAUCCGGAUUUACUGGGUGUAAAGGGAGCGUAGACGGCAGGGCAAGUCUGGAGUGAAAGGCGGGGGUUCAACCCGCGGACUGCACUGGAAACUGUACGGCUGGAGUGCAGGGGAGGUAAGUGGAAUUCCUAGUGUAGCGGUGAAAUGCGUAGAUAUUAGGAAGAACACCAAUGGCGAAGGCAGCUUACUAGACUGUAACUGACGUUGAGGCUCGAAAGCGUGGGGAGCAAACAGGAUUAGAUACCCGGGUAGUC
rnacentral:rRNA from 1 species